rnacentral:rRNA from 1 species
UGAACGCUGGCGGUAUGCCUUAUACAUGCAAGUCGAACGGGAGUUUUUAACUCUAGUGGCGGACGGGUGAGUAACACGUAAGAAUUUGCCUUUAGGAGGGGGACAACAACUGGAAACGGUUGCUAAUACCCCAUAUGCUUUCGAGUAAAACGGUUUUCCGCCUAAAGAGAAGCUUGCGGCUGAUUAGCUUGUUGGUAGGGUAAUGGCCUACCAAGGCGACGAUCAGUAUCUGGUUUGAGAGGAUGAUCAGACACACUGGAACUGAGACACGGUCCAGACUCCUACGGGAGGCAGCAGUGGGGAAUUUUCCGCAAUGGGCGAAAGCCUGACGGAGCAAUACCGCGUGAGGGAAGAAAGCCUACUGGGUUGUAAACCUCUUUUUUCAGGGAGGAAAAAAAUGACGUGUACCUGAAGAAUAAGCAUCGGCUAACUCCGUGCCAGCAGCCGCAGUAAUCUGAUGGCGCGAGG